UACGAAGGGGGCUAGCGUUGUUCGGAUUUACUGGGCGUAAAGCGCACGUAGGCGGGUCGUUAAGUCAGGGGUGAAAUCCCGGAGCUCAACUCCGGAACUGCUUUUGAUACUGGCGACCUUGAGGCUGGAAGAGGUUAGUGGAAUUCCCAGUGUAGAGGUGAAAUUCGUAGAUAUUGGGAAGAACACCAGUUGGCGAAGGCGGCUAACUGGUCCAGCACCGACGUCAGGCACGAAAGCGUGGGGAGCAAACAGG
rnacentral:rRNA from 1 species